GGGUCAAUGAUGAGACCUCAUACUAUCUCAGAGAUGAUGACUUAAAAAUUAUGCUAAAUAGGAUUACACUGAGGCCC